rnacentral:rRNA from 1 species
GACGAACGCUGGCGGCGUGCUUAACACAUGCAAGUCGAACGAAGUGGCGAACGGGUGAGUAACGCGUAAACAACCUGCCCUUCAGAGGGGGACAACAGUUGGAAACGACGGAUAAUACCGCAUACUGAAGGAGGGGAUUGCGUUGGAUUAGCUAGUUGGAGGGCUAACGGCCCACCAAGGCGAUGAUCAGUAUCCGGUCUGAGAGGAUGAACGUCCACAUUGGGACUGAGACACGGCCCAGACUCCUACGGGCGGCAGCAGUGGGGAAUCUUCCGCAAUGGACGAAAGUCUGACGUGGCAACGCCGCGUGAGUGAUGACGGCCUUCGGGUUGUAAAGCUCUGUUAAUCGGGACGCGGUACCGGAAUAGAAAGCCACGGCUAACUACGUGCCAGCAGCCGCGGUAAUAC